UGAGACAGGGUCUCACCCUGUCACCCAGGCUAGAGUGCAGUGACACAAUGAUAGCUUAUUGUAACCUCAAACUCCCGGGCUCAAGGGAUCCUCCUGCUUCAGCCUCCCAAGUAGCUAGGAUUACAGGUGAAGAGAAAUGAAGCUAACAUGUUGAAAUGAGUGGCCCCAAGGAUUACCAGAAAAGAAGUUAAUGUUCAGAAAGAGAAAAUAAAAGUUCUCUGUAUUUUAUUCCCCUCAGAGAUAACAAAAGUUGACAUUUUGUUGUAUUUUUCUCUAAGCUUUUUUUUUCCUUUGCUAUAAAUGCAAAAGGCAUCACAAUAUUUGGUAAACAUUUUCCUCUUAUUCAGUAGUUUCUGAAAACAUGAUGUUAAAUAGUUGUGUAACAUUCUCUCAUGCAGAUGUCCCAUAGUUCAUAGUUCAUUUAACUUCUCUUUUCCUGUGGGGUAUUUGAGCUGCUUCCUAUUUGC
rnacentral:lncRNA from 10 species